ACUGAAUCCAUAGGUUAAUGAGGCGAACCGGGGGAACUGAAACAUCUAAGUACCCCGAGGAAAAGAAAUCAACCGAGAUUCCCCCAGUAGCGGCGAGCGAACGGGGAGCAGCCCAGAGCCUGAAUCAGUAUGUGUGUUAGUGGAAGCGUCUGGAAAGGCGCGCGAUACAGGGUGACAGCCCCGUACACAAAAAUGCACAUGCUGUGAGCUCGAUGAGUAGGGCGGGACACGUGGUAUCCUGUCUGAAUAUGGGGGGACCAUCCUCCAAGGCUAAAUACUCCUGACUGACCGAUAGUGAACCAGUACCGUGAGGGAAAGGCGAAAAGAACCCCGGCGAGGGGAGUGAAAAAGAACCUGAAACCGUGUACGUACAAGCAGUGGGAGCACGCUUAGGCGUGUGACUGCGUACCUUUUGUAUAAUGGGUCAGCGACUUAUAUUCUGUAGCAAGGUUAACCGAAUAGGGGAGCCGAAGGGAAACCGAGUCUUAACUGGGCGUUAAGUUGCAGGGUAUAGACCCGAAACCCGGUGAUCUAGCCAUGGGCAGGUUGAAGGUUGGGUAACACUAACUGGAGGACCGAACCGACUAAUGUUGAAAAAUUAGCGGAUGACUUGUGGCUGGGGGUGAAAGGCCAAUCAAACCGGGAGAUAGCUGGUUCUCCCCGAAAGCUAUUUAGGUAGCGCCUCGUGAAUUCAUCUCCGGGGGUAGAGCACUGUUUCGGCAAGGGGGUCAUCCCGACUUACCAACCCGAUGCAAACUGCGAAUACCGGAGAAUGUUAUCACGGGAGACACACGGCGGGUGCUAACGUCCGUCGUGAAGAGGGAAACAACCCAGACCGCCAGCUAAGGUCCCAAAGUCAUGGUUAAGUGGGAAACGAUGUGGGAAGGCCCAGACAGCCAGGAUGUUGGCUUAGAAGCAGCCAUCAUUUAAAGAAAGCGUAAUAGCUCACUGGUCGAGUCGGCCUGCGCGGAAGAUGUAACGGGGCUAAACCAUGCAC
rnacentral:rRNA from 1 species